rnacentral:rRNA from 1 species
AGUGAACGCUGGCGGUAGGCCUAACACAUGCAAGUCGAACGGCAGCACAGUAAGAGCUUGCUCUUACGGGUGGCGAGUGGCGGACGGGUGAGGAAUACAUCGGAAUCUACUUUUUCGUGGGGGAUAACGUAGGGAAACUUACGCUAAUACCGCAUACGACCUACGGGUGAAAGCAGGGGAUCUUCGGACCUUGCGCGAUUGAAUGAGCCGAUGUCGGAUUAGCUAGUUGGCGGGGUAAAGGCCCACCAAGGCGACGAUCCGUAGCUGGUCUGGGAGGAUGAUCAGCCACACUGGAACUGAGACACGGUCCAGACUCCUACGGGAGGCAGCAGUGGGGAAUAUUGGACAAUGGGCGCAAGCCUGAUCCAGCCAUACCGCGUGAGUGAAGAAGGCCUUCGGGUUGUAAAGCCCUUUUGUUGGGAAAGAAAAGCAGCAGGUUAAUACCCCGCUGUUCUGACGGUACCCAAAGAAUAAGCACCGGCUAACUUCGUG